rnacentral:tRNA from 1 species
GAGUCGUUGCCCGAGUGGUUCAUGGGGACGGAUUGUAAAUCCGUUGUUUAAAACGACGCUGGUUCGAAUCCAGCACGACUCA